AAAGACUUUUGCUGUUAUUUCCCAUCUGAACUGAAGGGAAUCAUCUUCUCGAGAAUCUGCUCUGUGUUGUAACUACUUCACUGAUGAUAGGUCCGCAUUUGAUACGGGUAAUUCAGCACAGAAAGCGAGCAGUGCCCCACAAGGAUGUGAGCAGUGGCGUUGAUGUCUUGCUCUCACCAGAUCAAGUGUGCAGCGAAAAUGUUCUGUGCCCACACUGGGUUAUGGGAAUUAAGUUAUUUUUUCAUGUCGAAGCUCCUUAAGAAAUGUGUUGAGAUUCAAACGGGAUAUUCUGACAGCAGAUGAGUUAUGCUGUUUACAGGACAAACUUCUGUCACUUAAAAACCUUGUAAAAGAGUAUUUUCAUGCUGGAACAUAAUCAGAUAUGGCUUAAAACUGCCAUUGGAAGUAAAGCAAAAAAGAAAUACCAGCUACUGGUCUUCAAAAAAGUAAUUUGGCUUCUUGAGUUCUUUACCAUGCACAAGUGCACAGACAGGCAGGAACUGCUGAGUUUCCUGCAUUGAAAGCUUCCCUUUUGGCCACAGUCUAUAAAGGAAAUUGCAAAAGACCAACAAUUUGAUAAGCCACUGUGAAGUAAGAAGCAAGCGAGUUCCAAAGCCAUUGCCAAUAGCUUGGGCUUUGAAAGUUGUAGGCAGCUGCCUUAUUAAUGAAAAAAUUUAUUUUCACAUCAUCUGUAGAGGUUUUUCUUCCUAGAUUUAUAAUCCUUCUUUACAAACCUACCCAUAAGAAACUAAUUUUUAAAUUUGUGCAGGGUUCUAACAAAUGCUCAGAUGAUGAUUUUAAGUUGCCAUCCAAUAUGUCGAACCAUGGUGAAAUCACUGAUUCAGAUACAAUUUCACAGCAAGUAAAACUUUGCUCUGAAGUAGAUGAAGAGAUGAACAGGAAAAAAAUGAAACAAGACAAUUGUAUGAGGAACUUCAUAGCGACAUAGAAGUAAGUGACACUUGGUAAAAAGGAUGUGAGUUAUGUGGAUAUGCUGGGCUGAGUUACAUGUUUAUGUUG
rnacentral:lncRNA from 1 species